GAGUUUGUGCAGAGAUCUGAAGUCUAGAGGUAUGUCUAUGUCUCUAGUCACGUAUAAUAUUCUAGUUUCUGGGUUUUGUAAGAAGGGAGAUACUUCAGGAGCAGCUAAGAUAGUUAAGGAGAUGGAAGAGAGAGGGAUUAAACCUUCGAAAGUUACAUACACGAUUCUCAUUGAUACGUUUGCUCGGUCUGAUAACAUGGAGAGAGCAAUCCAGCUUCGAACGUCGAUGGAGAGUUUAGGAUUAGUUCCGGAUGUUCAUACUUAUAGCGUGUUGAUUCACGGGUUUUGCAUCAAAGGUCAGAUGAACGAAGCAUCGAGGCUUUUUAGAUCGAUGGUCGAGAAGAAGGUAGAACCUAACGAGGUGAUCUACAAUACGAUGAUUCUUGGGUAUUGUAAGGAAGGUAGUUCUUAUAGAGCGUUGAGGUUGCUAAGAGAGAUGGGAGAUAAAGAGUUGGCUCCAAAUGUUGCUAGCUAUAGUUAUUUGGUUGACGUUCUUUGUAAAGAAAAAAAAUUGAAAGAGGCUGAGGAUUUGGUUGAGAAGAUGAUUGGUUCAGGGAUGUAUCCAUCUGCUUCAGUAUGUAAUAUGAUCUCUAGUGCCAAAAAUGGUUCGCUUAUAGCUCAAACAAAUGAUAAGAGCUGUUUAAAUGUGACUUAAAUUUACACUUCUUUUUUCAUUCCGUUUUCUUUUUUCAUUCCGUUUUUCACUUAAAUUUACACUUUUUCAGUCACUUAACCCCAUUCCAUGAUUUAUUUCAAAAUAGAAUUUAAAACAAAAAAUCUGACUUUAAUUGGUAACAUGUGGUAACAUUGAUUUAGUUUGAGUUGAGAGUUUAAUUCAUAGAUAACUCAAAAUAUCACCAAUCAUGCAUUAAAUUUAAUUUUUUUUUAUUUUAAAUUUGAGUUAUCAUGUAUUAUGGUUGAAUUACAAUUUUGAUUUACACCCUUUGUAAAAUUGUUAAACCAAAACUUAAUGCAACAUCAUGAUCAAUCCAAUGUUUUAGGAUUUGAGUUACAAUUAUAAUUAAAGUUUCUGUCUAAAAUACAAAGUGAAUAAUAAAUCUGAAACACUCUACCUCCGCGUACGAAAACUGUUAUACGUUUUGGAAUUUUUUUGUUUGUAAAUAAAAUAUUAUUUGUAUUUCCAAAACCACCAUAGCAAUAUCUUAUUCUUAUUUCUGGAAAUAUUUUUAAUAAUAUUAUAUACUUCACAUCAUUUUGUGUUAAUCAAAUAUUUUUUUAUUCUCUUUCUUGUUCCUAUUUUUGAAUUAUUAAAUUAUUAUCUUACAUAAUCUUAUUAGUUGUAGAUUUUAUUUGGAUUGAAAAUUUAUAAAUUAUUUUGUUAUUGAUAUCGGAUAAAUAAUAUCAUCAGUAAGUUUAGUUCUUAGAAAAAUAUAUAUUGCAGCUUAUCUUUUGUUAAAAUUUAUUUUUAUACAUAUUAAAAAUAAUUUUAUUAUUUAUUUUAUUUUAAAUAGGUUAAUAGUUUUUGUUAUUAAUAAUAAUUCAUUAUUAUAUGUUUAUAUUUAUAUUUAUUUUAUUGAAAAUUAUACUGUAAAUUAUACAUCAAAAAGGUUACAAGUCAUCAGUUUUACUAAAAUAGUAACUCUAAUUUUUACUGCAAAACUUACCACAUAAAGUUACAGUUUUUACCACAUAAUUUUUACUGCAAGUUACAUCGAAUUGUAAUACAUAUUGCAACUCGACUUCAAUGCUACAUGUCAUCAAUUAGAACCUAAGUAUAUUCCAUUUUAUGCUGUAUAAUGAAAUAAAUAUGGAUUUAUUCUAUGGAAUAAUCAUUUUAUUGUUACUUCAUUAUUCUAUUUUCCACUCAAUUUGUGGAGUAUGGUUCAAAUAAAUUCAAUUCCAUUUUGGAGUGAAAACUAAAGUUUGACAUCCAUGUAGUAGAGCAUUUCCAAUAAAAAAGAAAUCUAUUUUUCUCCGAAAUAGAAUAAUUUUAUAUUGGAAUUGAAUUUGUUCCAACCAUAUUCUAUUUUUGGAACGAAAAUUGAAAUAAUGAACAAAAAAUAAAAUGAUUGUUUCAUUUAUAGAGUAAACAUUCCAUUAUAAAGUGGAAAAUGAAAUUGAAUUUGUUCCAAACUCCAUUUUGAAGUAAAUUAUGAAGUAUGAAUAGAGAUGCUCUUACAAGAUUAAGAUUAUCCUUUUUGAUAAUGAUUUUUUUGUUUCUUCUGAUUCAACAUUAUUCAUUGGUUUAGUUUGGUUUACUUAUAAACCAACUCCAACUCUACCAUUACAGAAAUUAGAAAACCAAAUCAACCGUUGGAAAAAUAUUAAGAGAAGAAAACAUAGCAGUUUCUCAAAACAAAACCACCAUUUUUCUUCUUUCGCGUGUCCGAUUAAGAAAGAGAGAUGGAUCACGCGAUGUUAAUUGCUCUUAUAAUCGCCGCAGCUUUCCUCUUUGUAUUCAACAAAGUGGACGGAGUCCAGAUCUUGUCUAAAUCAAAGCUAGAAAAGUGUGAGAAGACAAACGAUUCAGGAAACCUCAACUGCUCAACUAAAAUCGUCUUGAAUCUCGCUGUCCCCAGUGGAUCCGUAAGCCUUGUUAUAUUUGUGCGCUAUAUCAUAUGAUUUUUUUGCUCAUCACAUUAUGUUUUUUUCCGUGACGACGAAUAAGAGCGGAGGAGAGGCUUCGAUUGUAGCCGAGAUCGUCGAAGUGGAAGAUAAUUCGAGUAGCAACAUGAAGACCGUACGUAUCCCACCGGUUAUCACAGUGAACAAAUCAGCAGCAUAUGCUCUCUAUGACCUAACUUACAUUAGGGUACGUAUGAAGUUAUGUUUUACUGUCUUAAAUGGGUUUGGUUUAAAGUUGAUUAUCAUCAUGAAUCAGUCUCUAAUCUUGGUUCAGGAUGUGCCUUAUAAACCUCAAGAGUUUCACGUUACCACUCGAAAGUGUGAGCCAGAUGCUGGACCAGAUAUCGUUGGAAUAUGCGAGAGGCAAAUAUCUUUCUUUACGAUAUAUAUAGUUCUUUCUUGUUUAGCUUUAACGGUAAAUACUUAUCGGAACAGGCUGCGUGAUGACAAAGGUAACGUUCUGGUGCAGACUCAGCCUGUCUGUUGUCCAUGUGGACCACAAACAAGAGUUCCUUCAUCUUGUGGAGACAUAUGUACGUGUUUCUUUGUCUUAACAUUUUCAAUCUCUUUGGUUUAACAUUCAAUCUCUUUGGUUAAUAAAAUUUGGGUACUAUAAACAUUUUAGUAUAAAAUUUUAUUUUAUUUUUUUACUAUUUCUGGAACCAUAAAACGUAUGAUAUUAGUUGUUUAAAAUUUGUGUGCGAGUGUUAAUGGUUCACUGGAUUAUGCUUAGAGGAAGCGUUAUUUGUAUGUUGUGAAGAAUAAUUUACAACUCUCAUUUUCUUCACUUGACUUUUAUCAGUUGAGAAGUUGAUAAAAGGGAAAGCAAACACUGCGCAUUGCCUUCGUUUCCCUGGUGACUGGUACAGAUCCUCACUCAAUGUGGAUUUACUCUAAAGGUUGUUUUCAGGCUUCUAGAAGUUUGGCCAUUUGUUUGCUCUCUCUCUCCUGUAGGUACCACGUUUUCAGCAUUGGACAACGGUCUCUAGGGUUUAGCGUGCGUAUUGAGUUGAAGACAGGAACUAGAGUUUCAGUAUGUCUACUUCAUUGCUUCAAGCUUAGCUUUGUUCCGGAGUUAUUCUGUCUUUUAUGAUUCUUCUUUAACUGGCAGGAAGUGAUCAUUGGUCCUGAAAAUAGAACAGCUACUGCAAAUGAUAACUUCCUCAAGGUUAAUCUCAUAGGAGACUUUGCUGGUUACACAAGUAUUCCUUCUUUUGAGAACUUCUAUCUUGUAAUCCCAAGAGAGGUAUAAAUAACUCUAUAUCCAUUUGAAAUCUUUUAACUUAAUGAGCCGUAUUACAAAAAUGCUAGAAGAAUAUUUUGAAUAGGUGGCGGCAGAGGGACAGCCAGGGAACUUAGGUGGAAACUACUCAAUGUGGAUGCUGCUUGAGAGAGUGAGAUUUACAUUGGAUGGCAUAGAGUGUGACAAGAUCGGUGUUGGCUAUGAAGCUUAUAACAACCAACCAAACUUCUGUUAUGCACCAUAUUGGAGUUGCUUGCAUAAUCAACUUUGGAACUUCCACGAGGUCAGUACUUAAGAAACAAGACCGAACAUAGUCCAAUGAAACAUUGUCACUGAGCUAAUAUACAUAAAUCAUAUGAUUGUUAAAUUAUCAAACUAUUAAGAUUUACACUAAAAUGUUUAUAUCCUCUUAAAUCUCAGGACCGGUCCUAUUAAUAACUUAUAGCUUUAUGUAAUACCUUAUUUGGUCACUGUUGCGCCGAUAACAAGUUUGUUUCAGGCAGAUGUGAACCGGAUAAACCGCCACCAAUUUCCUUUGUAUGGACUGGAAGGAAGAUUUGAGAGGAUCAAUCAACAUCCAGUUAAGUUUUCAGCUUUUCAUAGUUUCUAAAUUAAUAAUAAAAUUUGUUGUUGGCUUAUCAAAAGCUUAUGUACAUGAUGAUACAGAACGCAGGGCCUCAGUCGUUCUCUAUAGGAGUCACGGAAACGCUCAACACAAAUCUAAUGAUCGAGCUAAGAGCUGAUGAUAUUGAAUAUGUUUUCCAAAAGUAAUAUUAUAAAAAGUAUUCAGCUUCUUUUUCUUAUAUUCUGAUUAUAAAGUAUAAAGUAAAGUAACGUUUGUGUGGUCGUAGGAGCCCUGGUAAGAUCAUAAACCUGGGUUUUGUAAGAAGGGAGAUACUUCAGGAGCAGCUAAGAUAGUUAAGGAGAUGGAAGAGAGAGGGAUUAAACCUUCGAAAGUUACAUACACGAUUCUCAUUGAUACGUUUGCUCGGUCUGAUAACAUGGAGAGAGCAAUCCAGCUUCGAACGUCGAUGGAGAGUUUAGGAUUAGUUCCGGAUGUUCAUACUUAUAGCGUGUUGAUUCACGGGUUUUGCAUCAAAGGUCAGAUGAACGAAGCAUCGAGGCUUUUUAGAUCGAUGGUCGAGAAGAAGGUAGAACCUAACGAGGUGAUCUACAAUACGAUGAUUCUUGGGUAUUGUAAGGAAGGUAGUUCUUAUAGAGCGUUGAGGUUGCUAAGAGAGAUGGGAGAUAAAGAGUUGGCUCCAAAUGUUGCUAGCUAUAGUUAUUUGGUUGACGUUCUUUGUAAAGAAAAAAAAUUGAAAGAGGCUGAGGAUUUGGUUGAGAAGAUGAUUGGUUCAGGGAUGUAUCCAUCUGCUUCAGUAUGUAAUAUGAUCUCUAGUGCCAAAAAUGGUUCGCUUAUAGCUCAAACAAAUGAUAAGAGCUGUUUAAAUGUGACUUAAAUUUACACUUCUUUUUUCAUUCCGUUUUCUUUUUUCAUUCCGUUUUUCACUUAAAUUUACACUUUUUCAGUCACUUAACCCCAUUCCAUGAUUUAUUUCAAAAUAGAAUUUAAAACAAAAAAUCUGACUUUAAUUGGUAACAUGUGGUAACAUUGAUUUAGUUUGAGUUGAGAGUUUAAUUCAUAGAUAACUCAAAAUAUCACCAAUCAUGCAUUAAAUUUAAUUUUUUUUUAUUUUAAAUUUGAGUUAUCAUGUAUUAUGGUUGAAUUACAAUUUUGAUUUACACCCUUUGUAAAAUUG
rnacentral:lncRNA from 1 species